CGGUAUUUUCCCCCGGUAAACUAUAUGCACACACACACACGUACAAGCCAAUGUUUGUUUUCAACAAUUGCCGCACACAAAGCCAGCUGCGCGAAUCGUUCGAGCUCGGCUGAGUAUAACGAAUGCGGUUGAGAAGUGUUGACGUCGACCAGAGUCGAGAGAAUAAAUCGUGCACGAACGGAUGGACGGACGGUCAGCGGCAAACCGACUACAUAAAUAAGGCGAAAAGAAUUGCAAAAGAUAAAGUGAAAGGGGUACCAAAGUGGAAACCCACGAGGUUCAGGAAAAACCACGAGGCAAACGCUUACACUGGUGGGUUAAGCACUGGAAGAGUAAUGUUACGAAAACGUUGAGAAACGCUGACGCCAGAGAGCGUACGAGCUGUCUGAACGAAAUAAAUUUUAAGAAAAUUAUUUCAACACACAUACAUACAUACAGUGAAUGUGUGCAUCUAUACAUGAGUGUGUGCAUUAUGCAGCGUUUCUAUGCGCUCAGCAACAACAACAAAACGCAUCAAUUAAGGUCACAUGCAAUGGCAAUAGACGCACAAGUACGCGCGCACACACACACUCAUGCACAUGCAUCCAUGCAUAUAUGGCAUGACGGGCAAUGAAAGGCGAAUGCACUGCCUUCAGAGCGCUACGCAAGAGUAUACAAAAACAAAUGGUUAUAAUAAACAUGCAGCUUUUCCACUUUAAAGGGCCGGGCAGUGCAAGGAAAUUAAGCUUUCAGUCGUUAUCGAACGAUCAGGAGUAGCCCUUCAAAGAAAAGGAAAUUGUUAAACGUCUUACAUAAGUAUGGGGCUAUGUUUAUUCCACGAAAUGACUUUUAUAAAGAAGGAAAGCAAAAUAGAAAGGGUUUAUUCCAUCAUCAUGGAAAUCAAAUUAAUCAUGGAAUGUCUUAGACCUAUCUGGAGAACCAGCCUUCAUUAUUGGACAAUAUUCGACCCUACCACGUCCAACCCGCAGUGAAGAAAAUGUAGCAGCCGUAGCUGAGAGUGUACACGAAGACGGUGGCGAGUUUAUUCGGCGCCGUUCGCAGCAACUCGGACUGACAUAUGGAACGAAGCGCCAUUAUAACCAACUAUUUGAUGCCUGAAAAUGAAGCUCGUGAUCUCUGCGACAUUUGGUUUCAACAAGACGGCGCCACUUCCCACACAAUGCAUCAAUCAAUGGAUUGAGAGAGAACACUUCUGUGAGCAAAUAAUUUCACGUUUUGGUCCGGUCGAUUGAACAGUAAGAUAGUGUGAUAUCACACCGUUAGACUUUUUCCUGUGGUGAUAUGUAAAAUCAUUGUCAAAGUCAUUGCGGACAAUUCUAUACAAGUCUUGGAGCAAAAUACCACGCCUGUCAUUCCCCAGUUUUCUGUCGAAAUGCUCAAACGAGUCAUCGAAAAUUAGACUCAACGGAUGGACCGUCUGAGAGGUAGCCGCGGCCAUAAUUUGAAAGAGAUAAUCUUUAAAAGGAGGUGCAGAACUCGAAUCAUAUACAUAUGUAACCCUGCCACCAGCAUGCGCAAUGCAGUUGUUUCUCAAAAUCGUCACUAGUUUCAUUCAACCUACACUAAGUGGUUGAUUUUCAAACGUUUCUCUGUUUCUUUUAGUUUACAAAUCUAACUCGGCCCUUAUUCGUAUUAUAAAAAACAGUUAAUUAGGCGAAGUUACGUAAAACAGUGAAACAUUUCACAAUCGCAAAUCCAAAUUUCAAAUAUGUAAAUGGUGGGGACGUGAAUUUUCCACUUGACUAAGUAGAAAGUAGCUUUUACCAAGUAAAAAUUCAUAAUUUCGACUGAUUUCAACAAUCUGUGGAGUUACCAAGUGAACUAAAAGCGCCUCACACUUUGUCGCCCGAGACAACAAGAAAGCAACGUAAAUCGCAAUAAAAAAUCUUCGAAAACUUCAAAAACUCAUUCAGCCAAACAGAGCCGCCGUGAAUUUGCAAUUGCCAAAAGCAACAAGCGGACGGGUGGCAUUUCAAAGGCAAUAUUGUAGCAAAGGCAGAGGCAAGCGGGGGGUCCAUCGUUGAUGUUGAUAUAGUAUGAAGCGUUUGAAUUCGGUACGAUUUGAUUUGGCGACGUGGAAUGCUGUCGUAGGCUUCGGACAAAUUCACAAUGUGUGACGAGCGAACUGCCAGCGCUGGGCAGGUAGGUAAGUACUGGCAGACUGUCUCGACCGUAUGUUUGUUAUACAUUUAGGUACCGGGCUCUUGCCUGGUUUGCAUUGAUUUGUAAAUCGAUACUUUGCAAAAGCGGCGCCAAAGCACGGACAGCAAGCCAAGUAUUAAAGUACAACAGCAGAAACAGCAGUGUGCUGUUGCAUUAAUGUACAGUGAACUCUAUCGGAGCUCCGUGCAGACAUAAAAUUCGAUAGGGUUCGCAAUGGACGAGUACCGCGGUGCCAUUUGCCGGUGCAACAGAGAGCAGCCACGGCGGCACUCAAUUCGCUUUGUUGAUUUCGAGUGCAACGACACUUAGUCCCCACAGUCGGCAUAUAGCUCGGUGCACAAGCAAACGCGCGUUUCAACUCAGCUUCGACUUUGUACCCAAACUGCGGCAGCAACAGCAACUGUUGCACGUUGCUAGACGACAAGGGAGGCAGUGUUGUCGCAAGUAUUUGCUUUGCCAGGCACACGGCAUGCUGCGCAAGUUAGUGCAAAUUUGUGUAUCAACACAUAUGGUCAUUGAAAUGGAUACGCCCUAAUAUACAUAUAGGUACAAUAUAUGUUUUCGAAAAUUUAAGGUAUUUAACAUUUUGACUAAUUUGGAAACUGCCAAUUUUUCAGUGCGACCAAUGUAUUGCUCAAUGAAUUCUUAUAUGGCUCAUAGGUACCAUAUAUGACAAAGUGGAAAAUUUAAAGAGAAAAUAUCGCGUACCAACUAUGAAAAUUUAACAAAAAAUUAAUAACAAAUUUUACUUUAUAUUGGAAAACGGCAAUCGAGUACAAAUAAUAUGAACUAGAGGCUAAUUACCUUUAAAAUAUUUAUUUUAUUUAUAUAUCUCUUAUAACACUUGAAAAGUUUUCAAUCUAACUAGACUUAAAAGGCUAUGUAGACAAUUGCUGCCGCACUGGGUUCAGACAGAAAAUAAAGAGAAACAAAAACCUACUAACGUCGUUUUUAUUUGAGACCAAUAAGCUGACUAUACUAUUAUUUUAUUUUCAUUUUAUUGACUAUGGAAUGUAUGGUCAAUUUCACAUUGAAAUU